rnacentral:rRNA from 1 species
UGAGGAAUAUUGGUCAAUGGGCGAGAGCCUGAACCAGCCACGUCGCGUGAAGGAAGACUGACCUUACGGUUUGUAAACUUCUUUUGUAGAGGGGUAAUGGCAGAUACGUGUAUUUGCGUGAAAGUACUCUACGAAUAAGCAUCGGCUAACUCCGUGCCAGCAGCCGCGGUAAUACGGGGGAUGCGAGCGUUAUCCGGAAUUAUUGGGUUUAAAGGGUGCGCAGGUGGCUAAUCAGGUCAGUGGUGAAAAGCUAUGGCUCAACCAAGGUCUUGCCAUUGAAACCGUAUAGCUAGAGAGGAGACGAGGUAGGCGGAAUGUGUGGUGUGGCGGUGAAAUGCAUAGAUAUCACACAGAACUCCGAUUGCGAAGGCAGCUUACCAGGCUUUAUCUGACACUUAGGCACGACAGCAUGGGGAUCAAACAGG